UAGGAAAAGAAGAAGCACCCGCUUCUCACCUGGCCCGACGCAUUAUGUGCAGUUAGCAGGUUCAUGAUUUGAUUAUCUGAAUUUAUUCUGAUUAUUCUAUCUGUGUGGGUGUUUAGACGACAUCCACACUUUUUUAUUGUG
rnacentral:sRNA from 1 species